rnacentral:rRNA from 1 species
AGAAUCAACGCUGGCGGCGUGCCUAACACAUGCAAGUCGAACGAGAAAGUGGAGCAAUCCAUGAGUAAAGUGGCGCACGGGUGAGUAACACGUGACUAACCUACCCUUGAGUGGGGGAUAACCUCGGGAAACCGGGGCUAAUACCGCAUAAUAUCGAGAGAUCAAAGGAGCAAUUCGCUUAAGGAGGGGGUCGCGGCUGAUUAGCUAGUUGGUAGGGUAAUGGCCUACCAAGGCUAUGAUCAGUAUCCGGCCUGAGAGGGCGCACGGACACACUGGAACUGAAACACGGUCCAGACUCCUACGGGAGGCAGCAGUGGGGAAUUUUGCGCAAUGGGGGAAACCCUGACGCAGCAACGCCGCGUGGAGGAUGAAGUCCCUUGGGACGUAAACUCCUUUCGAUCGGGACGAUUAUGGCGGUACCGGAAGAAGAAGCCCCGGCUAACUUCGCGCCAGCAGCCGC